rnacentral:rRNA from 1 species
UACGUAGUGGGCUAGCGUUGUCCGGAUUUAUUGGGCGUAAAGAGCGUGUAGGCGGCCAGGUAGGUCUGCUGUGAAAACUCGAGGCUCAACCUCGAGACGUCGGCGGAAACCAUCUGGCUAGAGUCCGGAAGAGGAGAGUGGAAUUCCUGGUGUAGCGGUGAAAUGCGCAGAUAUCAGGAAGAACACCCGUGGCGAAGGCAGCUUUCUGGGACGGUACUGACGCUGAGACGCGAAAGCGUGGGGAGCGAACAGG